UAGGCCUCCUACCAGACCCACCAAAAACAAAAAGAACUGACAAAGGGAAAACACUAAAACAUGUCAGCUACAUGUAACCAGGUGGUCAAAUAAUAAUAUUUAUGGAAAUAAUAUCCAUGCUGAGGAACUUCUCCAUUGUUUCUAUCUAUCUAUCUAGCUGGGGAUGCUCAUGUUGGACAGCAGGGGGUGUGAGUUUACCACUUAGUGCAGCGAUAUGCCUGCUGAGUGGACAGGGAAUGCUGGGAAAAAUACAGGAAGUACAACAUAAUGCGCUACUUUCUGCUGAGAAUAGCCACUGGUUCCAACGGCGAGAGUAUUUAUCAGGAUUGCAGAUGUUGGUGGAUUGAAAGCCACACGUGCGGAGCACAGCUUGCUAUCCGUGAAUUUGCACUGCAAUUGAAAAUCAAUUGAGGGAUGAUGAAUGGGGGCCAUUAGCUGCUGUGGCGCCGGGCUGGAUCCAGUAAAUAAAGGCUGGCGAUAAACACGGCGGUCGACGCGGUCUGAGAAGCCGGCGGAGACGUUCGUUAGACCGGCAGCCAAGUGUCAGAGUUGAUGAAUGGUUCGACUCUGAGAAGACCCCUGAAGACUAUAAAUUAUAUUUCCAGUGUUAACUUAAUGGAGAAACACAAAUCAUCCACAGCAGCAGCACACCGAGAGCAGAGGAACCUGAGAGUCCUGGACCAGAACCAUGAAGAGUUCAUCUCUAAUAAAACUUUAUUCAUCAUAGAAGAGUCUUUACUUAAAAGUUAAAACAUCCUGAAAACCUCUGCAGAUGCAGGGCACACCUCAGUCUCCAUCACGCUGUAUGUCAGGCUGAAUUCUGUGUCCAAAUUUAGGUUUAAUUUUCUG